rnacentral:rRNA from 1 species
GGGGUAAUGGCCUACCAAGGCGAUGACGGGUAGCUGGCAUUAGCGUGUGGUCAGCCACACCGGGACUGAGACACUGCCCGGACUCCUACGGGAGGCUGCAGUCGAGAAUCUUUCCCAAUGCCCGAGAGGGUGAGGAUGCGACGCCGCGCGGAGGAUGAAGGUUUUCGGAUUGUAAACUCCUUUUGUUAAGGAAGAAAUCCCUGUGAUGAAUAGUCAUAGGUGCUGACGUUACUUAACGAAUAAGCCACGGCUAAAUCCGUGCCAGCAGCCGCGGUAAUACGGAUGUGGCGAGCGUUACUCGGUAUUACUGGGUGUAAAGGGUCCGCAGGCGGCCAAUUAAGUAAGAGGUGAAAUCUUUCGGCUUAACUGAAAAACUGCCUCUUAUACUGUUUGGCUAGAGGGUACGAGAGGAAAGCGGAACUGCCGGUGUAAGGGUGAAAUCUGUGGAUAUCGGCAGGAACGCCAGUGACGAAGGUGGCUUUCUGGUUUAUACCUGACGCUCAGGGACGAAAGCUAGGGGAGAGAACAGGAUUAGAUACCCUGGUAUUCCUAGCCGUAAACGGGUACUAGGUGUCUCGACCUUAGGUCGGAGCGCCGUAGCUAACGCGUUAAGUACCCCACCUGGGGACUACGGCCGCAAGGCUAAAACUCAAAGGAAUUGACGGGGGCCCGCACAAGCGGUGGAACAUGUGGUUUAAUUCGAUGCUACGCGAGGAACCUUACCAGGUUUUGACAUGCUAGAAGUACUCCGGUGGAAACACUGGGAGACCGUAUCCAAUCGGCGUCUAGUGCAGGUGCUGCAUGGUUGUCGUCAGCUCGUGCCGUGAGGUGUCGCCUUAAGUGGUUUAACGAGCGCAACCCUCGCCUUUAGUUGCCACCCUAAUGAUUCAUUAGGCGCACUCUAGAGGGACUGCCCACGUUAAGUGGGAGGAAGGCGGGGACGACGUCAAAUCAGCAUGGUCCUUAUGUCCUGGGCUACACACGUGUUACAAUGGCGUGUACAGUGGGAGGCUAAGCCGUAAGGUGGAGCAAAUCCCGUAAAGCACGCCUCAGUUCGGAUUGAGGGCUGAAACCUGCCCUCAUGAAGCUGGAAUCGCUAGUAACGGCGUAUCAGCAACGACGCCGUGAAUACGUUCCCGGGCCUUGUACACACCGCCCGUCAAGCGCCGAAAGUGGGGGGCACUCGAAGCUCCGUUUGUUCGGAGUCACAGUGAAUUUCAUGAUUGGUGCUAAGUCGGAACAAGGUA